rnacentral:rRNA from 1 species
CCUACGGGCGGCUGCAGUGGGGAAUAUUGGACAAUGGGCGAAAGCCUGAUCCAGCCAUGCCGCGUGUGUGAAGAAGGCCUUCGGGUUGUAAAGCACUUUCAGUGGGGAAGAAAGCCUUGGGGCUAAUACCCUCGAGGAAGGACAUCACCCACAGAAGAAGCACCGGCUAACUCCGUGCCAGCAGCCGCGGUAAUACGGAGGGUGCGAGCGUUAAUCGGAAUUACUGGGCGUAAAGCGCGCGUAGGCGGUCUGAUAAGCCGGUUGUGAAAGCCCCGGGCUCAACCUGGGAACGGCAUCCGGAACUGUCAGGCUAGAGUGCAGGAGAGGGAGGUAGAAUUCCCGGUGUAGCGGUGAAAUGCGUAGAGAUCGGGAGGAAUACCAGUGGCGAAGGCGGCCUUCUGGACUGACACUGACGCUGAGGUGCGAAAGCGUGGGUAGCAAACAGGAUUAGAUACCCCAGUAGUC